GUCGAAGUGGCGGAAUAGGCAGACGCGCCAGCUUGAGGGGCUGGUGAACUUAGGUUCGUGGGGGUUCAAGUCCCCCCUUCGACACCA
rnacentral:tRNA from 1 species